GAUGAACGCUGGCGGCGUGCUUAACACAUGCAAGUCGAACGGGAAACCUUUUAUUGAAGCUUCGGCAGAUUUAGCUGGUUUCUAGUGGCGGACGGGUGAGUAACGCGUGGGUAACCUGCCCUAUACAGGGGGAUAACAACCAGAAAUGGUUGCUAAUACCGCAUAAGCGCACAGGGCCGCAUGGUCCGGUGUGCAAAACUCCGGUGGUAUAGGAUGGACCCGCGUUGGAUUAGCCAGUUGGCAGGGUAACGGCCUACCAAAGCGACGAUCCAUAGCCGGCCUGAGAGGGUGAACGGCCACAUUGGGACUGAGACACGGCCCAGACUCCUACGGGAGGCAGCAGUGGGGAAUAUUGCACAAUGGGGGAAACCCUGAUGCAGCGACGCCGCGUGAAGGAAGAAGUAUCUCGGGAUGUAAACUUCUAUCAGCAGGGAAGAUAGUGACGGUACCUGACGAAGAAGCCCCGGCUAACUACGUG
rnacentral:rRNA from 1 species